rnacentral:rRNA from 1 species
AUCAUGGCUCAGAACGAACGCUGGCGGCAGGCCUAACACAUGCAAGUCGAGCGCACCUUCGGGUGAGCGGCGGACGGGUUAGUAACGCGUGGGAACAUACCCUUCUCUAAGGAAUAGCCACUGGAAACGGUGAGUAAUACCUUAUACGCCCUUCGGGGGAAAGAUUUAUCGGAGAAGGAUUGGCCCGCGUUAGAUUAGAUAGUUGGUGGGGUAAUGGCCUACCAAGUCUACGAUCUAUAGCUGGUUUUAGAGGAUGAUCAGCAACACUGGGACUGAGACACGGCCCAGACUCCUACGGGAGGCAGCAGUGGGGAAUCUUAGACAAUGGGCGCAAGCCUGAUCUAGCCAUGCCGCGUGAGUGAUGAAGGCCUUAGGGUCGUAAAGCUCUUUCGCCAGGGAUGAUAAUGACAGUACCUGGUAAAGAAACCCCGGCUAACUCCGUGCCAGCAGCCGCGGUAAUACGGAGGGGGUUAG